rnacentral:rRNA from 1 species
GGACUACUGGGGUAUCUAAUCCUGUUCGCUCCCCACGCUUUCGCGCCUCAGCGUCAGUAUUAUGCCAGGUGGCUGCCUUCGCCAUUGACGUUCCUUCCGAUCUCUACGCAUUUCACCGCUACACCGGAAAUUCCGCCACCCUCUCAUAUACUCCAGUCAUUCAGUCUACGAUGCACUUCCUAGGUUAAGCCCAGGGCUUUCACAUCGCACUUGAAUCACCGCCUACGCGCCCUUUACGCCCAGUAACUCCGAUUAACGCUCGCACCCUCUGUAUUACCGCGGCGGCUGGCAC